AUACGAAGGGUGCAAGCGUUAAUCGGAAUUACUGGGCGUAAAGCGCGCGUAGGUGGUUCGUUAAGUUGGAUGUGAAAGCCCCGGGCUCAACCUGGGAACUGCAUCCAAAACUGGCGAGCUAGAGUAUGGCAGAGGGUGGUGGAAUUUCCUGUGUAGCGGUGAAAUGCGUAGAUAUAGGAAGGAACACCAGUGGCGAUGGCGACCACAGGGGUUAAAACUGGAACUGAGGUGCGAAAGCGGGGGGAGCAAACAGGAUUAGAUACCCUGGUAGUCCACGCCGUAAACGAUGUCAACUAGCCGUUGGGAUCCUUGAGAUCUUAGUGGCGCAGCUAACGCAUUAAGUUGACCGCCUGGGGAGUACGGCCGCAAGGUUAAAACUCAAAUGAAUUGACGGGG
rnacentral:rRNA from 1 species